GACGAACGCUGGCGGCGUGCUUAACACAUGCAAGUCGAGCGGUAAGGCCCCUUCGGGGGUACACGAGCGGCGAACGGGUGAGUAACACGUGAGCAAUCUGCCCAUCACAUCGGGAUAACUCCGGGAAACCGAAGCUAAUACCGAAUACGACCACCUCCGGCAUCGGAUGGUGGUGGAAAGUUCCGGCGGUGAUGGAUGAGCUCGCGGCCUAUCAGCUUGUUGGUGGGGUAACGGCCCACCAAGGCUUCGACGGGUAGCCGGCCUGAGAGGGUGACCGGCCACACUGGGACUGAGACACGGCCCAGCCUCCUACGGGAGGCAGCAGUGGGGAAUAUUGGACAAUGGGCGAAAGCCUGAUCCAGCAACGCCGCGUGAGGGAUGACGGCCUUCGGAUUGUAAACCUCUUUCAGCAGGGACGAAGCGCAAGUGACGGUACCUGCAGAAGAAGCACCGGCCAACUACGUG
rnacentral:rRNA from 1 species